CUCUGAUUCUCUUAGUGCCGGGCGUGGUGAGGUUGUGUCCGCGUUUGGACAGCAGAAGCCCACUCUGGUGCCGUCUCCUCGCGGGUUCUGGAAGGGAGCCAGUUCCUCUUGGUUUUGGAUGAAAGGGUUAAAUGCCUGCGGAGAUCACCGGAGCGAACAAGAUAAGGCAACAACAAAAAAGCGCUCAAAACUGAUGCUAUAGCUUAACUCCCGCACCAUAAUGAGAUGAGAAAAUUGAGCCACAGAAGGGUUAAGUGACAUCGAAAGGCUGCAAAGCCAGUUAGUGAAGAAUUAAGAUUGAAUUCAGGUCUCAGUCCUCAACAUCUUUACAGGCUGAGCUAUGUCAAAGAGAGGCAGAUAAGAGGUGAUUCUACUGGUUGGAGAGCUGCUUGCUACUACACAGUGGAGGCGAGGGGGACUCUAUUUGAAACCCAGGGGAUUCACUUCAGCAGUCAAUCAAAAUAAAACCCCCAAAGACCAAAAUACUACAGGAAUGAGUUCUGGAGGCCAGGAAGGUCAAGAUCACGGCACCUGCAGAUUCGGAGUCUGGUGAGGAACAACUUCCUGGUUCACACGCAGUGUGUUUUUGCUGUGUCCUCACAUGGUUGAAAGGAUAAGAGAUCUCUGCCUGGGGCCUCUUUUAUGAAGACAUAAAGAAAGCCAGGCUUCUUUUGGCUUUUGAUCCUGCCCCAGACGUGUUGGAUCCUUAUUAGCCAGACUGGUGAGAAAAUGAAGACAGAUUGCGAGAUUACCCUCCAGCCAUGGUGAUAAUGGUGUUUCUCCAGGAACUGAGAAAGAACGGUACCCAAAGAAGAUAAAGUCUCCGACUCACAGAGCUAUUAUUCUCCGUGUCUUUCUUUCUUUCCCGGUGGAGAUUGAUAAUCCUGAGAUCUUUAUCUUGGUAUUGCUAGCCACUAGCACUCUUCUGAAUAUAAGAGGUAUCCAGUAAGUGUUUGCGCUUUGAAUUUCACCAGUUGUACUCCAUGCUUCUAUGUCCACGUAGCACUUAGCAUGAUGCUUGACGUUCACAGGUGAGCAGGAUUAAAUUUGCUGUUUAAUUGAUAUCAUCGAGUCAAGGAGAAAUUAAGAUGAACAUUAAGGAAGACUUUUCUGUUCUGACUUUGGAAGUGAUGAUUUGGGGGGUAAUCUCUGCCACGCCACUCUCCUUCCCCUCUUUGCAUUUUCACACUUUGGUUCAUCACCUUCCUAAAGGUCACCUUGUUUCCCAGAUUUAACUGCCCCUUUCCUUCCAGUGAUUUCCAAAGUAUUCGAGAGUGUGUUCCUCUGUCGUUCUUUUUCCUCUUUUUCCUAGAACCAUAGAAACUGGAGCCCAGCUAGUGAGAGGCUUCUAGAAUCAGCAUGAUAUGCUUGUUGAAGGUCCUCAUCAGGAGUUUUCCUAGUACAUCCCAUGAUACUCACUAGUUGUACCCAAUAAAUUCUUACUAUCCUUAUUUAAAUGUUAUACUUGUGACUUCCAGGUAAUCUUUUUCUUUAUGACUAGUGAACUUUGUAUCCUAUUUUAAAAAUCUUUUUAUACUUCAAGGUCAUAAAGAUAUCACCUAACAUUAUCUUCUAAAGAUUUUAUUACAUUGCAUUUUUAUAUAUAGAUAUACAAUUCAGCUGGAAUUAAUUUUGUGUAUGGUGUGAGAUAGGUGUCAAAUUUCAUCCUUUUUUUUAAAAAUAAGGGUAUCCAACUGAUUCAGCAGCAUUUAUUGACAAGACCAUCCUUUCCUAGCUGCUCAAUUGAAAACGAUUAGGUCACAAAAGAGGCACAAAAGAGAACAUACUGUAAUAAUUCAAUUUAUAUAAUGCUACUAAGCACGUUUAGAAAUAAAUGUCAGGUUGGGAAAGUACGUGGAAAAUCAAGGAAGUGAUUGGUAUAGACAUCUGGCUAAUGAAUUAUCCUGGUGGAGAGAGAGAGAGGAGUGUGGAUGGAAAGAGGCACAUUAUGCACUUACAGGGUGUUGGCCCAAUGUCCCCAGUGUUCUAUUUCUUGAUCUGGGCAGUGGUUCCAUGAAUAUUGGCACUAUAAAAAUUAAGUUGUACAUUUAUGCUUUCUGUGUUUUUCUAUAUGUGUGUUCUACUUCACUACAAAGUAUCAAAAAUGUAAAAUGUUUAAUUUCCUGACUAGACCCUUGUAGUCAAUAUUAUUGAGUAUCACUAAGUGAUCAGCAUUUUCCCAUGUGUUGGGGAUGCAGCAGUUAACUGAAAAUACAGUGUGAUACAACAUAGCCAUUUCGAGGCUAUGAUGAGAACUAAAUGAACUAAAGUGUCUGGAAGUACAUAAUCAGUGCCUUGUAGAAAAUAAAUGAUAAUUCAUUC